CCAACUUCUCAGUUCCCUAACACAGCCUUUCCUCCCCUGCCUAGACUGCUAGUCUCUCUCCCCUACAUUGACCUGCUCUGAGCUCCAUGUCAGCUUUAUCCACUACUGAGCCUCAAAUCUACUUGUUAGCCUCUUCCACAUUGUUGGUUCCCAACUUGGCUGAAUGAGGCUUCGAAUGAGAUCAGGUUCCAUUGUGUUAGGCACUGUACAUACAUGCACACUGGAAGAGAAAAUCCCAGCUCCAGAGAGGCUAUACACUAAAUAGACAAGACAGACAAAAGGAAUGAAUCCAGGAGAGGAUGAGUGGAGCUGGUUUCCCUCUGACAAGAAGAUAAGCUCUUGCACACACACUGAUAGGUGAAAUGUCAGAAAAAAGGAUAUUUUGCUGUUUGCAGAGUCCAAAUAGAAAAGUCAGUUUGGAAAUAUUAUUGCUCCCACUAUGCUAAGCAAUAAGUUCCAGAACAGGAAUGCUUUGUGCUUUAACCAUUAAACCAUACCAUACUCCUGUA